AUGGUGGUUUACACUCCAGAAAAAGGGAAAACUUGGUUUGGGCAACCACCUGGAAGAGGCAGUCACCUCAGGCUGGAUUGCUGCUCUUGGGAGGCAGUGAUUUGCAGCAGGCUCUUAACUCUUGAAACUCUUCCGGGAAGAGGAGGUGGUAGAGACAAACUUGACACUGGAGCUGCUGGAGUAGUAGCUCCCGCUGCCACCUCCUCCAAGACCACCGCCAAGACCACCGCCCAGACCGCCACCGAGGCCACCACCAAAGCCACUGCCUCCACCAAAACCACUGCCGCCGCCGUAGGCAGAGGACAUGCUGUUUGUGAUGACAGCUGCAGAGAAAGGAGGGAGAAGUUGGUGAGACCAGUGUACUAGAUUGAUCUUAUGUGCCCAAGUUAUUUGAUCCCACUAGUGUUAACACUGUACCUGGCCCCUUUCACAGAGUAGCAAAUGAGUCUCAGAACUAAGCUAUUUAUUUAAGGUCCCUAACAGAAAGUUAGUGAGCAUGGAAGGCAAGGGAUGGUGCUAAGUCCUCAGGGGGUAGGGAAAGUGAGGGGAGAGGGCACAGGAUGUAUGGGAUAUUGGGCCUACCCUUUAAGAAAUAAGACAUGAACAUGUUGGUUCAUGUCUCAACCUGUGUUUUUUCCCCUCCACCACCUGCUUCUCUCUAAGUAUAUUAAAUAACCACAUAUUAGGAUGGGAGUUUCCAGUAUCCAGAAACAACGGGAUUCUGAAUUGGCCCCAAAUACCCCAUAUUACCAUCAUUGUUAAUGUCUGCUCAAAGGUACUUACAGAUGUUGACUGGUCCAACUCCUUCUCCACUCAGUCUAAAAGGGGAAAAAAUUAAAGCAAGAGUUAAAAACUCCUCAAAAGACAGUACUAGCCAUGUUUUGAGCUUGUUCUAUAAGCAAGGGGCCUGUAUGCCCCAGAGCUGCUUAAAUUAGAGAAAGAGCCCUCUCCUCUCGAGUGACUUCCCAAUGAAGACAAGUGUCAACCUGUUUGACCUAAAGACAGGUUAUUGAAAGAAGAUUGUAAUUCACAUUCCUCCACCCAUUAUAUGGAAAGCAUGAGUAAGAGGUUGUGGGAACUAUGAAUAUGUAUGAAGCAGUUUGGGCCUGGUAGGAGCUUACAUUCUCUGAGGGAAUUUGGCAUGGACUGACAUACUUCUAACAGGAAGGAUGGGUAGUGGGUAAUGUCAGAAGAUUGCAGAAAAUGAAAUAGUUUAAGAAUCCAAAGGCAAGUGAAUUGAACUUAGCUCGAGUAAUCAUGAAAGGCUUCUUAAAAGAAGGGGUACUUGAAGAAUGUGGAAGACAUUUGUUGAGUUGCUUAGUUGUUUGAAGAAGAGGAAUCUAGGGAUCCCUGGGUGGCGCAGCGGUUUGGCGCCUGCCUUUGGCCCAGGGCGCGAUUCUGGAGACCCGGGAUCGAAUCCCACAUCGGGCUCCUAGUGCGUGGAGCCUACUUCUCCCUCUGCCUGUGUCUCUGCCUCUCUCUCUUUCUCUCUGUGUGACUAUCAUAAAUAAAUAAAAAUUAAAAAAAAAUUAAAAAAAAAAAAAAGAAGAGGAAUCUGGUGGUGGGAACAGGGUGAGAAGGAAUACUGGUGGUGGGAAGAGGGUCAACAAGAUGAGUUGGGGCCACAUUGUGUGGGUCAGCUUGGUGUUCGUGGCGGGAAAACUGGAUUAGUGAAGAAUAAUUAUCAUGCACAAGAAAGCAGUCACUUGUGUGUGUGAUUUACACCCUGUAGCGGAGAAGAAGCUCCAUUUUGUCAAAUGUGACGCCAUCCUGGGCUGUUGAAGUCAGCUUUAUGUCACCCACCUGCACUCCUCGCCCUCCAGCAGCUUCCUGUAGGUGGCGAUCUCCACGUCCAGGGCCAGCUUGGUGUUCAUGAGCUCCUGGUACUCCCUCAGCAGCCGGGCCAUGUCCUGCUUGGCCUUCUGCAGGGCCUCCUCCAGCUCAGCCAGCUUGUUCUUGGCAUCCUUGAGGGCCAGCUCCCCGCGCUGCUCAGCAUCAGCGAUGGCAUUCUGCAGGUUGGCGCACUACAGAGGGAAAGAAGUGUGAGUGGGAACCCUUUUGUAGCUGACCUAGGCCUGUUGUAUCUCUUUCUGGGAUUCCGGGGAGAAGCCAGUACACUGGUCACUGUAGAUGGUGGAACAUUGAAACGCUGUUCUAGCUCUGUACUUGCUCUAGGGGGUGUGUGUGUGUUCAUAAAAAGUAAAACAAAACAAAAUAGGUCUGCCUUUCAGAGCUCAAGCCCCUUCCUUGCCUUCUUGCAACCUCUUCCUACCUGCUUCUUGACAUUGUCAAUCUCGGCUCUCAGCCUCUGGAUCAUCCGGUUCA
rnacentral:lncRNA from 1 species